AACGAACGCUGGCGGCAUGCCUAACACAUGCAAGUCGAACGAAAACGUCGGGGCUUGUGGGGCUCGGGUAGGGACGAAGGGGGGAGUAACACGUAGGUAAGGAGUAACGCAGAGAGAGAUAAGCUAGGACAGGAGGAUGUAUUAGGACAAAUGAUUUAUCGCCUUUAGAUGGGCGCGGGUUGGCUUAGCGGGGUGGUGGGGGAAAGGCCUCCCAAGGCGACGUGGCCUAGCGGGUCUGAGAGGAGGCGCAGCCACGCUGGGACUGCGACACGGCCCAGACUCCUACGGGAGGCAGCAGUGGGGUAUAUUGGACGCUGGGCGCUAGCCUGAUCCCGCCAUGUCGGGUGAGUGAUGCAGGCCUUAGUGUUGUAAAUCCCUUUUACCCGAGAUGAUAAUGACAGUACCGGGAGAAUAAGCUCCGGCUAACUCCGUG
rnacentral:rRNA from 1 species